rnacentral:rRNA from 1 species
GGCGAGGGGCGGCCCUAUCAUGCCAGUCGACGCUUCUUUCCUCCCGAGUGCUUGCACUCAAUUGGAAAGAGGAGUGGCGGACGGGUGAGUAACACGUGGGUAACCUACCCAUCAGAGGGGGAUAACACUUGGAAACAGGUGCUAAUACCGCAUAACAGUUUAUGCCGCAUGGCAUAAGAGUGAAAGGCGCUUUCGGGUGUCGCUGAUGGAUGGACCCGCGGUGCAUUAGCUAGUUGGUGAGGUAACGGCUCACCAAGGCCACGAUGCAUAGCCGACCUGAGAGGGUGAUCGGCCACACUGGGACUGAGACACGGCCCAGACUCCUACGGGAGGCAGCAGUAGGGAAUCUUCGGCAAUGGACGAAAGUCUGACCGAGCAACGCCGCGUGAGUGAAGAAGGUUUUCGGAUCGUAAAACUCUGUUGUUAGAGAAGAACAAGGACGUUAGUAACUGAACGUCCCCUGACGGUAUCUAACCAGAAAGCCACGGCUAACUACGUGCCAGCAGCCGCGGUAAUACGUAGGUGGCAAGCGUUGUCCGGAUUUAUUGGGCGUAAAGCGAGCGCAGGCGGUUUCUUAAGUCUGAUGUGAAAGCCCCCGGCUCAACCGGGGAGGGUCAUUGGAAACUGGGAGACUUGAGUGCAGAAGAGGAGAGUGGAAUUCCAUGUGUAGCGGUGAAAUGCGUAGAUAUAUGGAGGAACACCAGUGGCGAAGGCGGCUCUCUGGUCUGUAACUGACGCUGAGGCUCGAAAGCGUGGGGAGCAAACAGGAUUAGAUACCCUGGUAGUCCACGCCGUAAACGAUGAGUGCUAAGUGUUGGAGGGUUUCCGCCCUUCAGUGCUGCAGCAAACGCAUUAAGCACUCCGCCUGGGGAGUACGACCGCAAGGUUGAAACUCAAAGGAAUUGACGGGGGCCCGCACAAGCGGUGGAGCAUGUGGGUUUAAUUCGAAGCAACGCGAAGAAACCUUACCAGGUCUUGACAUCCUUUGACCACUCUAGAGAUAGAGCUUUCCCUUCGGGGACAAAGUGACAGGUGGUGCAUGAUUGUCGUCAGCUCGUGUCGUGAGAUGUUGGGUUUAAGUCCCCGCAAACGAGCGCAACCCUUUAUUGUUAGUUUGCCCAUCAUUUAGUUUGGGCACUCUAGCGAGACCUGCGGUGACCAAUCAGAGAAUGGUGGGGGAUGAAACGUUCCAAAUUCAAUUCCAGUGC